AACGAACGCUGGCGGCAGGCCUAACACAUGCAAGUCGAGCGAAGCCUUCGGGCUUAGCGGCGGACGGGUGAGUAACGCGUGGGAACGUGCCCUUUGGUACGGAAUAGCCCCAGGAAACUGGGAGUAAUACCGUAUGUGGUCGAGAGACGAAAGAUUUAUCGCCAAAGGAUCGGCCCGCGUUGGAUUAGGUAGUUGGUGGGGUAAUGGCCUACCAAGCCGACGAUCCAUAGCUGGUUUGAGAGGAUGAUCAGCCACACUGGGACUGAGCCACGGCCCAGACUCCUACGGGAGGCAGCAGUGGGGAGUCUUAGACAAUGGGGGAAACCCUGAUCUAGCCAUGCCGCGUGAUCGAUGAAGGCCUUAGGGUUGUAAAGAUCUUUCAGUGGGGAAGAUAAUGACUGUACCCACAGAAGAAGCCCCGGCUAACUCCGUGCCAGCAGCCGCCGUAACAC
rnacentral:rRNA from 1 species